rnacentral:rRNA from 1 species
CAUAGUUUAUUAGAUCUUACUCUACUUGGAUACCUGUGGUAACCUAAGAGCUAAUACAUGCAAUUAAGUCCCGACCCUCGUGGAAAGGACGCAUUUAUUAGAACAAAACCAAUCGGGCUUGCCCGCUGUUUGGUGAAUCUGAAUAACUAUGCUGAUCGCACAGUCCUCGAACUGGCGACGUAUCUUUCAAAUGUCUGCCUUAUCAACUUUCGAUGGUAGUUUACACGGCUACCAUGGUUGUAACGGGUAACGGAGAAUUAGGGUUCGACUCCGGAGAGGGAGCCUGAGAAACGGCUACCACA